UACGUAGGUGGCAAGCGUUUGUCCGGAUUUACUGGGCGUAAAGAGCGCGCAGGCGGUCGUUCAAGUCGCGUGUGAAAGCCCCCGGCUCAACUGGGGAGGGUCAUUCGAAACUGGUCGACUCGAAGGCAGGAGAGGGUAGUGGAAUUCCCGGUGUAGUGGUGAAAUGCGUAGAUAUCGGGAGGAACACCAGUGGCGAAGGCGACUACCUGGCCUGUUCUUGACGCUGAGGCGCGAAAGCUAGGGGAGCAAACGGGG
rnacentral:rRNA from 1 species